UGGUUUCUCUUCAAAUCGUAUAAAUCUUUCGCCUUUUACUAAAGAUUUCCCAGGAGAGGAACAAACCA
rnacentral:snRNA from 1 species